AUGCCUCGGGACACUUAUCCACAUCACUGGAACCCCCAGAAAAAGUGUUGCUUUAGCCUUCUCACUCCACCAUGGACUAUCUUGCCACACAAUGUACACUGGAGUAAAUCUUUCCUCUCUAAAUCUGGCCAGAACCCAUACUUCCAGGCUGGAUCAUCUGAUGUAGCUCUUCUCCUAGGAUCAUUGGCUAGAUCCAUCAGAGCAGGUACACCUGGCUACUGUCAAAGAAAAAGAGAGAAGAGCCAAAUCACUAGAGCAGCCAGAUCAAGCAUGGGGAAGGAGAGAAGCAGUGGUGGGGCUGCUGCCUUGUGGGUGGAGAAGCAGAUCUGGGAAGAAACAGAUGCAGAUGAGAAGGAGCAGGCAAGCACAUCUAGCUACACUGUUGUGCAUAAGAGAGGCAGCACCUAA
rnacentral:rRNA from 1 species